GGAAGAGAGAAAGCAGAAGACACGUGGUGGUCGCCGCGUCACCAAGAGAGCUCGCCUUUCUAAUGAAGAGUCUCACGCUGGUGAGCGACCACCAGGAGCAGCUGCUCUUCCCCGAACCUCCCAUGGACCCCACGCCAUGGUCGUCGCAUUCGAAAACUUUUCAGGAUUUAUCGAACACGUGACGACCAUGGCAAAGAUGAUGUGCUCCUGCCGGGACUGCCGCUUUUAAAAAAAAAAAA